rnacentral:rRNA from 1 species
CGCUGGCGGCACGCCUAACACAUGCAAGUCGAACGGUGAAGAGAAGCUUGCUUCUCGGAUCAGUGGCGGACGGGUGAGUAACAUGUGAGGAACCUGCCUUCAGAGGGGAUAACGUUGGAAACGAACGCUAAUACCGCAUAACAUAUUCGGACGGCAUCGUCUGAAUAUCAAAAGGAGCAAUCCGCUAGAAAGAUGAGCUCGCGUCUGAUUAGCUAGUUGGUGAGGUAACGGCCCACCAAGGCGACGAUCAGUAGCCGGACUGAGAGGUUGAACGGCCACAUUGGAACUGAGAUACGGUCCAGACUCCUACGGGAGGCAGCAGGUGGGGAAUAUUGGGCAAUGGGCGCAAGCCUGACCCAGCAACGCCGUGUGAAGGAAGAAGGUCUUCGGAUUGUAAACUUCUGUUCGUUUAGGGAAGAAAAAACGACGGUACCUAAGGAGGAAGCCACGGCUAACUACGUG